rnacentral:rRNA from 1 species
AUUGAACGCUGGCGGCAGGCCUAACACAUGCAAGUCGAACGGUAACAGGAAGAAGCUUGCUUCUUUGCUGACGAGUGGCGGACGGGUGAGUAAUGUCUGGGAAACUGCCUGAUGGAGGGGGAUAACUACUGGAAACGGUAGCUAAUACCGCAUAACGUCGCAAGACCAAAGAGGGGGACCUUCGGGCCUCUUGCCAUCGGAUGUGCCCAGAUGGGAUUAGCUAGUAGGUGGGGUCACGGCUCACCUAGGCGACGAUCCCUAGCUGGUCUGAGAGGAUGACCAGCCACACUGGAACUGAGACACGGUCCAGACUCCUACGGGAGGCAGCAGUGGGGAAUAUUGCACAAUGGGCGCAAGCCUGAUGCAGCCAUGCCGCGUGUAUGAAGAAGGCCUUCGGGUUGUAAAGUACUUUCAGCGGGGAGGAAGGGAGUAAAGUUAAUACCUUUGCUCAUUGACGUUACCCGCAGAAGAAGCACCGGCUAACUCCGUG